GAGAGAGAGAGAGAGAGAGAGAGAGAUCACCCAACAAAAGCUCAGCACUUUUCACAACGUUAUGCUCAUCAAAUUCUUAGCAUGACAUUCUCCUUUGUGACUUUUCCUCGCUGCUCUUCCGCCUGUUGCUAAGUUACCGUCUCCCUCCCUUCCCUCCUUUCUCUUCCUCCCUCCCUCCCUCCCUCCCUUCCUUCCUCUCACGGCCUCUCCCUUACCUGCCACCCACACUUCCGGAGGCGUGGGUGUGGCAGGAAGGAAUGAGGAGGAGGAGGAGGAGGAGGAGGAAGGAAGGAAAGGAAGAAGAAGAAGAAGAAGAAUGAGGGAGAGGAGGAGGAGGAGGAGGAGAACAAAAACAAGAACAAGAAAGACCAAGAAGAAGAGCAAGAACAAAAGGAGGAGUAGGAACAUGAUGAGAAACAGAAGGAAAGGCAUACGAGAGAGAGAGAGAGAGAGAGAGAGAGAGAGAGAGAGAGAGAGAGAGAGAGAGAGAAGGUGGGAGUGGUUUUCGUAGAGGAAUGUUGUUUUUGCGGGCCGCGCGAUGCCUGGCUGGGUGUGGCGCUGCGUCGCUUUCCUGCCGGCUGGGACACACUGGCUUCACGGGAGGCAGCCAGUGUCCAGCGUCCACCCCGGGGCGCUGCGAGGGGCGGGGCGCGGUCUUCAAGGGUGGUCUGUCUUGUUCGGGGGCGGCCAGUGUCCAGUGUGAAAUAGGGGCCAAACAGAGGGUAGUGUCUUAGGGAGAAGGUCUUAAACAGUGACCAGAAGAUGGGCAGUGUCGUAAUGUAUAUGUCUUAAAUAGGGGCUAAGAGAAGGGAAGUGUCUGAUUAGGAAGUACAUCUGAGGGUGGGACCAGAAGAAGGGCAGUGUCGUAAUGAAUAUGUCUGAAAUAGGGGCUAAGAAAAGGGAAGUGUCUGAAUAGGAAGUAAAUCUGAAGGUGGGACCAGAAGAAGGGCAGUGUCCUAGGGAGUACAUCUUAAGCAGGGAAGAAGAGAAUGGGAAGGGAAAAAAGGGCAGUGUCUUGAGAGGGAGUUGAUCUUAGGAAAGAAGAAGGAAAGAAGAAAGGGAGUAGAACUUAAGCAGGGACCAAAGAAGGGAAGUGUUUGAAUAGUGAGCAGGUCUUAAGCAGGGAAGAAAAGAAGGGCAGUGUCUCAGGGAGUAGAUCUUAAGCAGGGACCAAAGAAGGGUAGUGUUUGAAUAGUGAGCAGGUCUUAAGCAGGGAAGAAAAGAAGAGCAGUGUCUCAGGGAGUAGAUCUUAAGCAGGGACCAAAGAAGGGUAGUGUUUGAAUAGUGAGCAGGUCUUAAGCAGGGAAGAAAAGAAGGGCAGUGUCUCAGGGAGUAGAUCUUAAGCAGGAACCAAAGGAGAGCGGUGUCUGUAUAGGGAGUUGAUUUAUGUCCAGCAAAAGUCUAUUACGGGCCUGUGGGUUGUGUGCUUUAAGUCUUUAGGCAGUUCCAUUAUCCAGUGUCCGAGGAAGGGGUAGCUGAAGGGAAGGUUGGCUGGGUAGGACAGUGCUUCAAGGGAAAAGGCUGUCUAGGAGAGUCUUCUAGCCCUUAUUCUUUUCAUUAUUGUUUUCUUUUUUUUACGCCUUUGCACUGUCUCUGCUGUAAAAAAAAAAUUAUGAAACUUUUCCGGGCUCACACACUUACCCACACAUGAUAAGGUUUCCGUAUAGGGGUUGGGUUAGUGUUUCCGUGGUUAGUUUGAUGAGCCAAGUGAUAGUUUGACAAGGCUUCUGCACCAUGAAUGUGAGAACCACUCAUGAGAACCCGACUAAUCUCCUGUUGUGGCCUUUGAAAUUAUUUGUUAUGAGAGCCGAAAGCGUCUGACAGUAUGGGCCUUUGUUUCACCAGUGUCGAAGUAAGGGACAGUCGCUGAAGGGCAGAAGCAGGGUUGCCAAAUUAUCGCACUCAUCGCAUUGCAUUUUCGUAGUUUCGGACCGAUAACUAUAGCAAAAAAGAACAAAGACCAUCAAUAUUUAAGAGUUUUUACGAUGACUUUAAUUUCCUAUCAUUAUUUGCGUGGUUGUGACAGUCUUGGAGCCUCAAAAUGAUAAAUAAAUUGUUCUGAGUACGAUAAUUUGACAACGCUGGGCAGAAGACUUUAGCCAGUAUUCUAGACGCUUUCGGCUCCCAAAACAGUUAUUUCCAAAGGUCACAAAGGAUAAUGAGGGGGAGAGAGGAGGAGGAGGAGGAGAACAAAAACAAGAACAAGGAAGACCAAGAAGAAGAGCAAGAACAAAAGGAGGAGUAGGAACAUGAUGAGAAA